UACGAAGGGGGCUAGCGUUGCUCGGAAUCACUGGGCGUAAAGCGCACGUAGGCGGAUUGCUAAGUCAGGGGUGAAAUCCUGGAGCUCAACUCCAGAACUGCCUUUGAUACUGGCAAUCUCGAGUCCGGGAGAGGUGAGUGGAACUGCGAGUGUAGAGGUGAAAUUCGUAGAUAUUCGCAAGAACACCAGUGGCGAAGGCGGCUCACUGGCCCGGUACUGACGCUGAGGUGCGGAAAGC
rnacentral:rRNA from 1 species